UGGAAGUACAGCUUGCUACGUUUUCAAGGGUAAUAGUAUGUUCUAUUUAGGAGCCCAGGCUGAGUUGGUAGAUAACACGCUAGCCUGGUGUAUUAUAGUUAAACCUGAACACUCAAUGCCCACUGGCACUAGCAUGGAUAUGUCCUUUUGCUGGUCACUCCGAUAUUCGGGGUCAGGUAGUUAACAUGUGGUUUAUCAUAAGAUAAGAUGUCAAGGUGGAGGUCAUGCUUCUCCUGCUUAGGUAAGAUUUGUGG